GAUGAACGCUGGCGGCGUGCCUAAUACAUGCAAGUCGAGCGAACAGACGGGGAGCUUGCUCCUCUGACGUUAGCGGCGGACGGGUGAGUAACACGUGGAUAACCUACCUAUAAGACUGGGAUAACUUCGGGAAACCGGAGCUAAUACCGGAUAAUAUAUUGAACCGCAUGGUUCAAUAGUGAAAGACGGUUUUGCUGUCACUUAUAGAUGGAUCCGCGCCGCAUUAGCUAGUUGGUAAGGUAACGGCUUACCAAGGCAACGAUGCGUAGCCGACCUGAGAGGGUGAUCGGCCACACUGGAACUGAGACACGGUCCAGACUCCUACGGGAGGCAGCAGUAGGGAAUCUUCCGCAAUGGGCGAAAGCCUGACGGAGCAACGCCGCGUGAGUGAUGAAGGUCUUCGGAUCGUAAAACUCUGUUAUUAGGGAAGAACAAAUGUGUAAGUAACUAUGCACGCCUUGACGGUACCUAAUCAGAAAGCCACGGCUAACUACGUG
rnacentral:rRNA from 1 species